UCGAGGAUCUUCGUCAAUGGGCGCAAGCCUGAACGAGCGACGCCGCGUGGGCGAUGAAGGCCUUCGGGUUGUAAAGCCCUGUCGAGGGGGAUAAAGCUGGCGUAAGCUAGUUGAUUGAUCCCUGGAGGAAGCACGGGCUAAGUUCGUGCCAGCAGCCGCGGUAAGACGAACCGUGCGAACGUUGUUCGGAAUCACUGGGCUUAAAGGGCGCGUAGGCGGCCGGCGAGGUCGGGGGUGAAAUCCCGCCGCUUAACGGCGGAAGGGCCUCCGAUACCGGUCGGCUGGAGGAGGGUAGGGGUGCGCGGAACUUCUGGUGGAGCGGUGAAAUGCGUUGAUAUCAGAAGGAACGCCGGCGGCGAAAGCGGCGCACUGGACCCUUUCUGACGCUGAGGCGCGAAAGCCAGGGGAGCAAACGG
rnacentral:rRNA from 1 species